rnacentral:rRNA from 1 species
AUGAAGAGGAAAAAGAAGGCGGCGGAACCCGCGGCCAAGAGGCGCCGGCCGCGGGGCCGGGAUGGCGAGCUCGUCGGCGACGGGGAUCUCAUCAGCAAACUCCCCGAUGACAUCCUCGGCACCAUCAUCUCCCUCCUCCCCACCAAAGACGGCGCGCGCACGCCGGCCAUCUCUCGCAGAUGGCGUCCCCUCUGGCGCUCCUCGCCUCUCAACAUUGAUGGUGCCCUUUCCCUCUGCUCCAACGCCUACAAGCGCUUCUCCGUCGUCUCCAGGAUCCUCGCCGACCACCCUGGCCCCGCCCGCCGCUUCCGCUUCCACCACAUCCGCCUCCACAAAGACAAGAAACGGCAUGCCGAGGAAGCCGCUCAGGUCGAGAACUGGUUCCAUUCCCGAGCCCUUGACAAGCUUCGGGAGCUCGACAUCAGCUUUGAGUUCUUGGGCUAUGAACCUCGGAAGCUUUACCCGCUGCCACCAUCCGUGUUUCGCUUAGCAUCCCUCCUCGUGGCCACAAUCAGCUUCUGCGAAUUCCCAAAUCAGAUUGUUCCUUCGAUGAGUUUUCCCACCCUCAAGCAGCUCACCCUGUUUCGCGUUUUCAUCUGCGAGGAUGUCUUUCGUGGGGUGCUCUCUGCCUGCAAUGUCUUGGAGUCACUUGAAUUGGAGGAUAUUUGUGAUGCGAAUUGCUCGCGCUUGGGCAUUAGCUCCAAAAGUCUUAGGAGCGUGAGCCUCUGCGCUUGUUUUUCAGGCAAAGGAGAGUUGUUCAUUGAGGACGCCCCUCUCCUUGAAAGGCUGCUACUACCUUGUCCGGGUGCAGGCGGUGAUACUGUCGGGUAA